GAUAAGAGCGAGAUCUCACUUCACUUUAAAGAAAAAACAUACUAUCCGGAUUGCCCCUGAUGGCUUGUGGCAUGUUCUGGUGUGUAUUGGAAAAUUGCAGUCAGGCUUUGUGAUGUCUCUCUCCAUACAACCCCCAUCGCUGAGUUGGCGACGAAUGGUGCUCACUGUUGUACACACAGUGACACAAAACAGAAGAAUCCAGUAGUCCUCCUCUAUUCAAACCGGCUGAGGGAAGCUGAGUGGUUUUCAUAAUGCAGAUACCUGCAUCUCACCAUAGGUGACUUCAGUCCCAAAGUAAUCACCUACUUGAAAUCGAAUUAUUUCUAACUACUUCUAGAACAUGACGAUAAUACUGUCCCGGACAUUUCAUGAUUUUUGGAUGAAUUACCUUGGAUUUAUUAAAUGAUUUAUAUGUCAUGGUUUUACUCGACAGCUAAUCAAACAAAUACAUUAUUGUGGAUACCAAAGAUUUUUUACAUUUUAACUGUUUUCAGGACGAAAUGGUGCAAGUGUGCCUAUACAUUGGGCCAUUGGGUUGUCGAGUUUUUGGAGAAUGUACUGCAGGGUAGGUCCAUGUUGAUGGCGUUGUCCCCAGACCUGUUAGCUUUGGGGCAAACUGAGGCAGGUCAAGAGAAGUGUGAGGCCUAGUGAAGAGCCUUAUGGGUUCCGUCCUUCCCCUACUGAGGCUCCUAAGCUAACCAGUGAAUAAUGGGUCAUCGUUGCUGCAUGACACAAAUGUUAUUGGUGAGAUGCAGAUUUCUUCCUUAUUGGAUCAAAUAAUAUAAAAACUCUGUAUCUAGAUCUGCAUCUUUAUGGUUUAAGAAGCAAAAAUGUUUAACUUUAAACGUACCUUGUGAAAUGAUUUAUGUAACAUUUAUUUUAUUUG
ensembl:lncRNA